UGGAGCCCCACAUCAAGCUCCUUGCUCAGUGGAAAGUCUGCUUCUCCCUCUGCUUCGGCCUACCACUCCCCACUGCUUGUGUUCUCUGUCAAAUAAAUAAGUAAAAUCUAAAAAAAAAAAAAAAAGUUCUAACAUAUGAGACAAGAUGAGCUCUCUUUGAGUUAUCUGUUGGGGAAAGAUCCUUAACAUCAGGAAAUUGACAGAUGUUUAAUCACUUAUGCUGUGUACCUUAUAAAUAUGAUAUGAACAGAAUAGAGACAUUUCAGCCACAUAGUUGUUUUCUUCCGAGUUGUUAUUCAUUUCAGCUGGAAUAGUCUAGACCGUUCUGUGGUAACAAACUACCCCAAAGUCUUGGCAGUUUACAAAAACCAAGAUUUAUUUUUCAAUUACGCAACACGCUCAGUGAGUAUCAGCAGGUGGUUCUACUCUAUGUCAUUAGCUAGCGGGACCCGCACUGAUGGAGGAGUCUCCUUUAAUACUGGCAUCCAUUAUGACACAGGCGAAGACAAAGGUAGACCUCAGUCAUAGAACAAACGAUGACUUAAGCUUCUGUCUGGCUAUCAGACACAUCACUUCCAUUCCUAUGGCCAUUUCAGUGGUAGAGCAAGUCAAUCCAAAUCUGACUUUAGUGCCUUGGAGAAGGUAUAAUUCCAUGCCCAGGAAGGGAAACAGGUAUGGAUGAAGGGUAAUGAAAUCUACCUCUUCGAACCCAGGUGUCCACACUUUAUUGGAAUGAGUUCUUUUUUUUUUUUUUUUUUCCUUCCUUCUUCUUCUUCCAGAUCUCUUUUAAAAUCAGCCUGGAAACAGUGUUUAUACAGAUCACAGAUCAGCCUCACUGGUUCUAAAGCUGGGGUCUCAUCAUUGGGAUGUGUUGGCUGACCUUAGGAGCAUAUUUCAACCAGAGGCUUCUUAGGAGGUUGGCUUAGCAGAGCUUGAACAGAUGACCCAUUUGGGGACUCUCACCACCCACAGAACUGUAGAUUUUCCUGCUUGAGGUUUUCACACUUAGGCAAGAAAGGAGUACACCCUUCCUAAAAGGACCAGCUCUCCCUCCUGCUCUGUCAGCCACUGGUUUCCUCCAGCAAGUUACUAAAACUAGGUACGAGGAGCUGAGGUGUCACUACACAGCACGUCCACAGAAUCUGUGCUUAUGACAGUGCCCCAGUAAUUCCUGAUCCUUGCCUCACUCCCUGACGGAGACCCAGCUUUUAUUUCAGCAACAAUAAUCAACAAUAAUGGGUUGUCCUGGACCCCUGACUUCACCUGAAGAUGUCUGUGUGUUGGAUCUGCCUCCUAUAUGGGGCAGUUGGUUCAAGACUUAGAGAAAUGUCUGCAGACACUCUCAUUCCAGAAUGAUGGGACCCAACCAGGGGAAAUGGCCAGAAGCAACCACAGCUUCAGGCUUGGCAAAGUGGGCUAAAAUGUGAAGGUAAGUGUUUGAGACUCCAGUUUCCUGGGACCAUGUCUCUGCCUCAUCCUACAAGUCUCGGCCUCCUUUUACCACUUUGGCCCUAACACUGUGAAGCCUUCUGCCCACUGGCAGUGCUUCCCCUGCCAUAUGCUGAUUACUAAUGCCAGUAAAAUACCUACGUACUUUGGCAGUAACGUAUGCAGAUACGUAUGUUUCUAAUUACAGGGAAAUUGUUAGAACAUGACUUGGCUUCGAGAUACCCAGUUAUUAAUCCAGGAAGAAAUAAUGCUUUGUUUUCUAACAGAAGAAAAUAAGAACUUCAUUUUAAUCAUGUUUCCCCCUUUCUCUUCUCUUUUUGUUUGUUUGAUACACAUACACGCGCAAUGUCUUACACUGGCAAUACGAGACGUUCUCGCACACAGUGUGGCCAUUUCUUCUCAGACAUCGGACAUACUACAUCUGUUACCUGCUUAACCAUCCAUCCACUCCUUUGCUACAGCUGCGUAUCCAGGAUUCUGGGUCCUGUCAUUGUUCUUUAUGGAUACCAUGUAUGGUUUUCAAGAAUAAGUGUAAAUUCAUUAAAGUUCUUAUUUUACAAUGUGCA